rnacentral:rRNA from 1 species
UUAAGCGACUAAGCGUACACGGUGGAUGCCCUGGCAGUCAGAGGCGAUGAAGGACGUGCUAAUCUGCGAAAAGCGUCGGUAAGGUGAUAUGAACCGUUAUAACCGGCGAUGUCCGAAUGGGGAAACCCAGUGCAAUUCGUUGCACUAUCGUUAACUGAAUACAUAGGUUAACGAGGCGAACCGGGGGAACUGAAACAUCUAAGUACCCCGAGGAAAAGAAAUCAACCGAGAUUCCCCCAGUAGCGGCGAGCGAACGGGGAGCAGCCCAGAGUCUGAAUCAGCUUGUGUUAGUGGAACGGUCUGGAAAGUCCGACGGUACAGGGUGAUAGUCCCGUACACCAAAAUGCACAGGCUGUGAACUCGAAGAGUAGGGCGGGACACGUGGUAUCCUGUCUGAAUAUGGGGGGACCAUCCUCCAAGGCUAAAUACUCCUGACUGACCGAUAGUGAACCAGUACCGUGAGGGAAAGGCGAAAAGAACCCCGGCGAGGGGAGUGAAAAGAACCUGAAACCGUGUACGUACAAGCAGUGGGAGCACCUUCGGGUGUGACUGCGUACCUUUGUAUAAUGGGUCAGCGACUUAUAUUCUGUAGCAAGGUUAACCGUAUAGGGGAGCCGCAGGGAAACCGAGUCUUAACUGGGCGUUAAGUUGCAGGGUAUAGACCCGAAACCCGGUGAUUCAGCCAUGGGCAGGUUGAAGGUUGGGUAACACUAACUGGAGGACCGAACCGACUAAUGUUGAAAAAUUAGCGGAUGACUUGUGGCUGGGGGUGAAAGGCCAAUCAAACCGGGAGAUAGCUGGUUCUCCCCGAAAGCUAUUUAGGUAGCGCCUCGUGAACUCAUCUUCGGGGGUAGAGCACUGUUUCGGCUAGGGGGUCAUCCCGACUUACCAACCCGAUGCAAACUACGAAUACCGAAGAAUGUUAUCACGGGAGACACACGGCGGGUGCUAACGUCCGUCGUGAAGAGGGAAACAACCCAGACCGCCAGCUAAGGUCCCAAAGUCAUGGUUAAGUGGGAAACGAUGUGGGAAGGCACAGACAGCCAGGAUGUUGGCUUAGAAGCAGCCAUCAUUUAAAGAAAGCGUAAUAGCUCACUGGUCGAGUCGGCCUGCGCGGAAGAUGUAACGGGGCUAAACCAUGCACCGAAGCUGCGGCAGCGACACUAUGUGUUGUUGGGUAGGGGAGCGUUCUGUAAGCCUGCGAAGGUGUGCUGUGAGGCAUGCUGGAGGUAUCAGAAGUGCGAAUGCUGACAUAAGUAACGAUAAAGCGGGUGAAAAGCCCGCUCGCCGGAAGACCAAGGGUUCCUGUCCAACGUUAAUCGGGGCAGGGUGAGUCGACCCCUAAGGCGAGGCCGAAAGGCGUAGUCGAUGGGAAACAGGUUAAUAUUCCUGUACUUGGUGUUACUGCGAAGGGGGGACGGAGAAGGCUAUGUUAGCCGGGCGACGGUUGUCCCGGUUUAAGCAUGUAGGCUGGUUGUCCAGGCAAAUCCGGAUAAUCAAGGCUGAGGUGUGAUGACGAGGCACUACGGUGCUGAAGUAACAAAUGCCCUGCUUCCAGGAAAAGCCUCUAAGCAUCAGGUAACAUCAAAUCGUACCCCAAACCGACACAGGUGGUCAGGUAGAGAAUACCAAGGCGCUUGAGAGAACUCGGGUGAAGGAACUAGGCAAAAUGGUGCCGUAACUUCGGGAGAAGGCACGCUGGUGUAGGUGAAGUCCCUGCGGAUGGAGCUGAGACCAGUCGAAGAUACCAGCUGGCUGCAACUGUUUAUUAAAAACACAGCACUGUGCAAACACGAAAGUGGACGUAUACGGUGUGACGCCUGCCCGGUGCCGGAAGGUUAAUUGAUGGGGUUAUCCGUAAGGAGAAGCUCUUGAUCGAAGCCCCGGUAAACGGCGGCCGUAACUAUAACGGUCCUAAGGUAGCGAAAUUCCUUGUCGGGUAAGUUCCGACCUGCACGAAUGGCGUAAUGAUGGCGCUGUCUCCACCCGAGACUCAGUGAAAUUGAACUCGCUGUGAAGAUGCAGUGUACCCGCGGCAAGACGGAAAGACCCCGUGAACCUUUACUAUAGCUUGACACUGAACAUUGAGCCUUGAUGUGUAGGAUAGGUGGGAGGCUUUGAAGCGUGGACGCCAGUCUGCGUGGAGCCAACCUUGAAAUACCACCCUUUGUUUGAUGUUCUAACGUUGGCCCCUUACCGGGGUUGCGGACAGUGUCUGGUGGGUAGUUUGACUGGGGCGGUCUCCUCCCAAAGCGUAACGGAGGAGCACGAAGGUUAGCUAAUCCGGUCGGACAUCAGGAGGUUAGUGCAAUGGCAUAAGCUAGCUUGACUGCGAGCGUGACGGCGCGAGCAGGUGCGAAAGCAGGUCAUAGUGAUCCGGUGGUUCUGAAUGGAAGGGCCAUCGCUCAACGGAUAAAAGGUACUCCGGGGAUAACAGGCUGAUACCGCCCAAGAGUUCAUAUCGACGGCGGUGUUUGGCACCUCGAUGUCGGCUCAUCACAUCCUGGGGCUGAAGUAGGUCCCAAGGGUAUGGCUGUUCGCCAUUUAAAGUGGUACGCGAGCUGGGUUUAGAACGUCGUGAGACAGUUCGGUCCCUAUCUGCCGUGGGCGCUGGAGAAUUGAGGGGGGCUGCUCCUAGUACGAGAGGACCGGAGUGGACGCAUCACUGGUGUUCGGGUUGUCAUGCCAAUGGCACUGCCCGGUAGCUAAAUGCGGAAGAGAUAAGUGCUGAAAGCAUCUAAGCACGAAACUUGCCCCGAGAUGAGUUCUCCCUGAGACUUUAAGUCUCCUGAAGGAACGUUAAAGACGAUGACGUUGAUAGGCCGGGUGUGUAAGCGCAGCGAUGCGUUGAGCUAACCGGUACUAAUGAACCGUGAGGCUUAACCU